rnacentral:rRNA from 1 species
GAUGAACGCUGGCGGCGUGCUUAACACAUGCAAGUCGAACGAAGUGGCGAACGGGUGAGUAAUACGGGGGUAACCUGCCCUCCUUUUUGGGAUAAGCCUUGGAAACGGGGUCUAAUACCGAAUAAAGGGGGAUGGGCUCGCGGCCUAUCAGCUUGUUGGUGGGGUGAUGGCCUACCAAGGCGGUGACGGGUAGCCGGCCUGAGAGGGUGAACGGCCACAUAGGGACUGGGAAACGUCCCAGACUCCGACGGGGGGGAGCAGUGGGGGAUAUUGGAGAAUGGGCGAAAGCCUGAUGCAGCGACGCCGCGUGGGGGAUGAAGGCUUUCGGGUUGUAAACCUGUUUCGCAAUCGAGCGGGUAGGUGGAGAAGAAGCGCCGGCUAACUACGUGCCAGCAGCCGCGGUAAUAC